rnacentral:rRNA from 1 species
UGGGGAAGUAAUUUGCACAAUGGGGGAAACCCUGAUGCAGCGACGCCGCGUGAGCGAUGAAGUAUUUCGGUAUGUAAAGCUCUAUCAGCAGGGAAGAAAAUGACGGUACCUGACUAAGAAGCCCGGCUAACUACGUGCC